rnacentral:lncRNA from 1 species
AAAUCGUGAAACAGUUUCGUCUUCUUCGCGAAACUGUUUCAGACCUUGCUUCUUCUCCGGCGACCCUGUUCUUCCAUUCUCUACCAUUUUUCAUCGUUUAAACUGCAUUUUGUUCGGUGCAUUUGCCAUUUUUGACGUUGGGGAAGAUUUUUGACCGAUCAGAAUCGUCAUUUUCGACCCUGAGAUCGUGAACUGUAUUUUGUCGCGCCCAUUCCAGGUACUUCCUUUAUGCCCUCGUCAUGUUUUCCAUUAAACCUCUAUGUUUGCUUUCGUUUCUUGAUGCAUAUGUUGUUGUGGCUUUGAUCAUUUUUGUCAAAUUUGUUGUGGUUUCUGUCGUUCUUGAAGAGGCAAAGUAUGUUAGCUUUUAUUUCAAUGUUUGAUCAUUUUUUAUCAAAUAUGCUAUGAACUUUUUUUUGUCAAAUAUACUAUGAAAUUUUUGUCAAAUAUGGAUAUGUUGUUGUGGCUUUGAUCAUUUUUUUCAAAUAUGCUAUGAAUUGAUAAUUUAAAUGAUUAUUAAUUGUAUGUUUGUAUGACUGAAUUGAUUGUAUGAUUAAAUUUAUAAUUUUAUAUACAAAAUUGUAUAAUUGUAAUUUCGUCAAAUUUAGGAAU